rnacentral:lncRNA from 1 species
GCCGGCGCGGUGCAUUAUGGGAAGCAUCGCACACAGGAAGCGCUCCGGGCCGCCGGCCCUCGCUUGGCGCGGAGACCUGGCUGCGAGACCAAGCGUGGCUUUGAUUCUGGCGCCUGCGUGUCAGCAGCGCGGCGUGGCCGGGAAAGCUGGGCCCCGCUCUGGGGGUCCCCCUGAUGGGCCUGAGAGGAAAACGCUUUGAAAUUGAUGGGAGCUGGGAAAGCCACUGAGAGGGACGUCCUCCCCUUGAGGCUGGCCUCUCCUCUUUUUCCGGAAGAUGCUACCCUGCACCCUUGAAACUAGAAAACCUGGUUGGAGUCUGCAAACCGCGAUGCAGGAUGUGGGCACCGAGAAAAAGCAAGAGAUCCCAGUCAGGACUUCGUUGGCCCAAACCACGGUCUGCAUGUCAGCAAAGACUUGGUUAUAAUCUCUGCAUACCUAAGAUUGCUUAGUUGAGCCAUCUUUUGGCAGCCCUUCGACGACCUUCACUAAAUCCUGGUUUCUUAGGAGCGCCCUCAUUUAACACCAAGGCCCUUUAGUUGCCUAUACAAAGGGAGGGCUUACAGUUAAUGACCUUUGUGCCCACACAGUAGUACAAGGUCAGCUAACUUAAUGUGCCCAGUGAAUGUCGAUCGGGUUAUUGGGAACUUCCUGAGAGAUGGAGCACCUUCGUUAGGAUUUCUGUUUCACAAUCUCAAGGCUUUAUUUUAGCACCUCUCUGCAAUACUUAAACAUAACCUUUGAGGUGAGAGGGAAAGGACAUUAAAAUAUCUACAUAACCAUUUCUGGAAUUCUCUCCUUGUCCACACCCACCUCCCCACCCCUUGAAUGUUCAUUUGAAUAGGCUUUUUGGCCAAACUCCAAACUCCCGCAUUAUGCACUUGUGAUGACACUGAAUUAGAUUACUGUCUGCAAGGUUAAUAUUCCCUCAGGCGUUAACCUUAGUAAACCGCGACGCCUUUUGAAGUAGCUGAGGCUCAGAAGUUCAGCUGAAUUCAAACACAGUUAACUAAGAAAAGCAGGGAUGAGCCCACAGCCUCACAAUAAACUCUACUUGAACCUUCUCCACUAAAAAAAUAUAAAUUUUAAUAAGAUGACAGUGCAUAUUCUGAAUGCUAAUUGUAACAAAACCGUGAUACAAGCUAGAGCAAGGGACAGUUAGCUGGAGGACAGCCUUCUGGCAACUUCUAGCAACUGCAGUGACAUCAAAUUCAGAUGUAUUUUUAAAAAGGGAAGAGAAGAAAAAAAAAA